CCCUUCUCCGGGGUGUCUUAAGAUUGCGAUACGUGAGGAUUGUGCUACGUUGGGGGGGUUGGGGGGUAGAGGCAGCGUCUGCUCGGAGGUGCGGACGGCGGGGUUGUUUUUAAGAAGAAAAGCAGCUCGGUGGAGCAUUAGGAAGGAAAUGGUUCAGGCGAUUUCCACUGGCGGCGGCUGUAGGCUCGUCCGUGAUCUCGCCGCUGGGUGAGUGAAAGUGAUGGGGUUAAGAGAGAGUGGACCAGAGGAUUAGGGUCAGAAGGAUAGCCGAUGCUUCG
rnacentral:lncRNA from 1 species